rnacentral:rRNA from 1 species
GUGGCAAACGGGUGAGGAAUAUAUAGGAAUCUACCUAGCAGUAAGGAAUAACUUUGGGAAACUAAAGCUAAUGCCAUAUAUUACCGAUUUAUCGGGAAAGAUUUAUCGCUGUUAGAUGAGCCUGUACCAGAUUAGCUUGUUGGUGGGGUAAUGGCCUACCAAGGCAAUGAUCUGUAGCUGGUCUGAGAGGAUGAUCAGCCACACUGGGACUGCGACACGGCCCAGACUCC